rnacentral:rRNA from 1 species
UUGAUCUCAAAACAGGUAGGACUACCCGCUGAACUUAA